rnacentral:lncRNA from 1 species
UGGAGAACAAUGUCGUAUUCAAACAUCCGAGUCACAAAGCGUGGAUGAAAGGAUAAAAGUACUUCGCAAGCAUGAAUUCACAGAUGAGGAGCAACUACCACAUGGUACUAUAUCCUUUUACUACCUCUACUAUGAACAGACUACAUUCAAAGAAACUCCUCUAGUAUGCAUGUAACAGAAACAUGGAACUACUUGAGUGAAGUUGUAGAUACAGCUGUUCAGGAUGAUAUAUUGACUUAGUGG